rnacentral:rRNA from 1 species
GGCCUAACACAUGCAAGUCGAGCGCGCCUUCGGGUGAGCGGCGGACGGGUUAGUAACGCGUGGGAACGUGCCCUUCUCUACGGAAUAGCCUCUGGAAACGGAGAGUAAUACCGUAUACGCCCUUUGGGGGAAAGAUUUAUCGGAGAAGGAUCGGCCCGCGUUAGAUUAGGUAGUUGGUGGGGUAACGGCCUACCAGGCCUACGAUCUAUAGCUGGUUUUAGAGGAUGAUCAGCAACACUGGGACUGAGACACGGCCCAGACUCCUACGGGAGGCAGCAGUGGGGAAUCUUAGACAAUGGGGGCAACCCUGAUCUAGCCAUGCCGCGUGAGUGAUGAAGGCCUUAGGGUCGUAAAGCUCUUUCGCCUGUGAUGAUAAUGACAGUAGCAGGUAAAGAAACCCCGGCUAACUCCGUGCCAGCAGCCGCGGUAAUACGGAGGGGGUUAGCGUUGUUCGGAAUUACUGGGCGUAAAGCGCGCGUAGGCGGAUUAGAAAGUUGGGGGUGAAAUCCCGGGGCUCAACCUCGGAACUGCCUCCAAAACUGCUAGUCUAGAGUUCGAGAGAGGUGAGUGGAAUUCCGAGUGUAGAGGUGAAAUUCGUAGAUAUUCGGAGGAACACCAGUGGCGAAGGCGGCUCACUGGCUCGAUACUGACGCUGAGGUGCGAAAGUGUGGGGAGCAAACAGGAUUAGAUACCCUGGUAGUCCACACCGUAAACGAUGAAUGCCAGUCGUCGGGUAGUAUACUAUUCGGUGACACACCUAACGGAUUAAGCAUUCCGCCUGGGG